UUUGUCACCAAGAGGGUGCCUUCGGAGGGUGUAUCUAGUCACUAGCCCCUUUUCUGUCUCUCUGCUUCUUGGUUGCCGUCAUUACCUUUCUGACAAAGUUGCCAUGAGGAUUAAGUGUAUUAAUAUAUGUAAAGCACUAAGAACACUGUCAUGGGCUUCCUGGUUCUCCAGCUUACAGGCAGCAUAUUGUGGGA